rnacentral:rRNA from 1 species
UACAGAGGGGGCAAGCGUUAUUCGGAAUUAUUGGGCGUAAAGGGCGCGUAGGCGGCUUGGCAAGUGGAUGGUGAAAUCCCUCGGCUUAACCGAGGAACUGCCAUCCAGACUGCUUGCUUGAGGCCGGGAGAGGUGAGUGGAAUUCCCAGUGUAGCGGUGAAAUGCGUAGAUAUUGGGAGGAACACCAGUGGCGAAGGCGGCUCACUGGACCGGUUCUGACGCUGAUGCGCGAAAGCGUGGGAGCAAACGGG